rnacentral:ncRNA from 1 species
GGUUAAGCGACUAAGCGUACACGGUGGAUGCCCUGGCAGUCAGAGGCGAUGAAGGGCGUGCUAAUCUGCGAUAAGCGUCGGCGAGGUGAUAUGAACCUUUGACCCGGCGAUACCCGAAUGGGGAAACCCAGUGUGUUUCGACACACUAUCAUGUCAUGAAUACAUAGUGGCAUGAGGCGAACCGGGGGAACUGAAACAUCUAAGUACCCCGAGGAAAAGAAAUCAACCGAGAUUCCCCCAGUAGCGGCGAGCGAACGGGGAAGAGCCCAGAACCUGAAUCAGUUUGUGCAUUAGUGGAAGCGUCUGGAAGGUCGCACAGUAUAGGGUGAUAGUCCCGUACACAAAAAUGCACUUAUUGUGAGUUCGAUGAGUAGGGCGGGACACGUGACAUCCUGUCUGAAUAUGGGGGGACCAUCCUCCAAGGCUAAA